rnacentral:rRNA from 1 species
UGGGGAAUAUUGGACAAUGGGGGCAACCCUGAUCCAGCAAUGCCGCGUGUGUGAUGAAGGCCUUAGGGUUGUAAAGCACUUUCACUGGUGAAGAUGAUGACGGUAACCAGAGAAGAAGCCCCGGCUAACUUCGUGCCAGCAGCCGCGGUAAUACGAAGGGGGCGAGCGUUGUUCGGAAUUACUGGGCGUAAAGGGAGCGCAGGCGGUUCAUUAAGUUAGGCGUGAAAGCCCCGGGCUCAACCUGGGAACUGCGCUUAAUACUGAUGAACUAGAAAACAGGAGAGGGUAGUGGAAUUUCCAGUGUAGAGGUGAAAUUCGUAGAUAUUGGAAAGAACACCGGUGGCGAAAGCGGCUACCUGGCCUGAUUUUGACGCUGAGGCUCGAAAGCGUGGGGAGCAAACA